UAGAUUUGAGAACAAAAUAAAGAGGAGGCUUUUCUAUUAGAACUACCUCACUUCUGGAGAAAAGUGCUUGAGAAAAGAGGUCCAUCUUCAUCAAUUGCAUGCGUGUUUUAUUAGACUGAAUAGAUACACAGUAUCCUGCUUAGCUGAGAGAGAUCUGGGUUGAAUUUAAAGCAGGAGAAAAAUGUACAUGCAGAUCCUUUCUUGCAGUAAGGCUGCCAAGCUUAUGUCAUUGGUGUAAAGUCAUUCUGACAUUGAAAGGAGAAAGCAUCUUUCAAAGACUAAAUGAGCUCAGAGGCAAUUAAUGACCAAAAUGGAAGUUUAGAUCAAGUGGAGUUCUAAGGAAAGAACUCGUGUGAUGACUGAGUAAAGGAGAGGAGUCUCUUCAAGGUUUAAGAGAUCAGUGUGUACAU